rnacentral:rRNA from 1 species
GAUGAACGCUAGCGGGAGGCCUAACACAUGCAAGCCGAGCGGUAUUGUUUCUUCGGCAAUGAGAGAGCGGCGUACGGGUGCGUAACACGUGUGCAACCUGCCUUUAUCUGGGGGAUAGCCUUUCGAAAGGAAGAUUAAUACUCCAUAAUAUAUUGAACGGCAUCGUUUAAUAUUGAAAGCUCCGGCGGAUAGAGAUGGGCACGCGCAAGAUUAGCUAGUUGGUGAGGUAACGGCUCACCAAGGCGAUGAUCUUUAGGGGGCCUGAGAGGGUGAUCCCCCACACUGGUACUGAGACACGGACCAGACUACUACGGGAGGCAGCAGUGAGGAAUAUUGGUCAAUGGGUGCAAGCCUGAACCAGCCAUCCCGUGCGAAGGACGACUGCCCUAUGGGUUGUAAACUUCUUUUGUAUAGGGAUAAACCUACCCUCGAGAGGGUAGCUGAAGGUACUAUACGAAUAAGCACCGGCUAACUCCGUG